rnacentral:rRNA from 1 species
UACGUAGGGUGCGAGCGUUAAUCGGAAUUACUGGGCGUAAAGCGUGCGCAAGCGGUUCGUUGUGUCGGCGGUGAAAGCCCCGGGCUCAACCUGGGAAUGGCCGUUGAAACUGGCGAACUGGAGUGUGGCAGAGGGGGGUGGAAUUCCGCGUGUAGCAGUGAAAUGCGUAGAGAUGCGGAGGAACACCGAUGGCGAAGGCAGCCCCCUGGGCUGACACUGACGCUCAGGCACGAAAGCGUGGGGAGCAAACAGG